rnacentral:rRNA from 1 species
AAGAUUAAGCCAUGCAUGUCUAAGUAUAAACAUUUGUACUGUGAAACUGCGGACGGCUCAUUAAAUCAGUUAUAGUUUAUUUGAUAGUAACUACUACUUGGAUAACCGUGGUAAUUCUAGAGCUAAUACAUGCUAAAAGUCCUGGCCUCCGGUCAAGAUGUAUUUAUUAGAUAAAAACCAAUGUCUUCGGACUCGUUGGUGAUUCAUAAUAACUUGUCGAAUCGCAU